rnacentral:misc_RNA from 1 species
AGCAGCCGCGGUAAUUCCAGCUCCAAUAGCGUAUAUUAAAGUUGCUGCAGUUAAAAAAGCUCGUAGUUGAAUUUCGGGAUCAAUAUGUUGGUCGUGCCUCGGUACGUACUAGCUUAUUGGUUUCUUCCUUCUGACGAACCAUAAUGUCAUUUAUUUGGUGUUAUGGGGAAUCAGGACUGUUACUUUGAAAAAAUUAGAGUGUUUAAAGCAGGCUCACGCUUGAAUACAUUAGCAUGGAAUAAUGAAAUAGGACGUUUGAUUCUAUUUUGUUGGUUUCUAGGAUCGACGUAAUGAUUAAUAGGGAUAGUUGGGGGCAUUAGUAUUCAAUUGUCAGAGGUGAAAUUCUUGGAUUUAUUGAAGACUAACUACUGCGAAAGCAUUUGCCAAGGAUGUUUUCAUUAAUCAAGAACGAAAGUUAGGGGAUCGAAGACGAUCAGAUACCGUCGUAGUCUUAACCAUAAACUAUGCCGACUAGGGAUCGGAUGAUGUUAAUUUUUUAAUGACUCAUUCGGCGCCUUAC